AGAAGGCGUGAAGGGCCUGAGAUUGUAGUAGUGAAAAAAAGCAUUCUUUGGCGACCACGGCAUCGAGGAGGAGAAUGUCUUCUUCCUUUUUUUGCUUUGGCUAUUUGUUUAUUGAGUUGGUUGUGCUCCUGGGGGUGCUGGUGCAGAGCCCUUUGGCCGGGGGUAACGGGGUCUUUAGGGUGCGUCACAAGUUCCUGGGUCGCAGCCAUACCGUCGGCGAUCUUCGAGCUCACGACCGGCGUCGUCACAGCCGGAUCCUCGCCGCUGCCGAUCUCCCCAUUGGAGGCGUUGGUAUCCCCACCGACACCGGGUUGCUCUCUCUCUGUAUUUGAUUUCUAGCUGCUCUUUCUAGAACCGAAUUUGAUCCUUGUUUUUUAUUUUCUUCAAAAAAUUAUUUCCCCCCCUAUUUUUGUGCGUUUUGGUGGGGUUUAUAGACUCUAUUUUGCUGAAAUUGGAAUCGGGAACCCGUCGAAAAAUUACUACGUACAAGUCGACACAGGGAGCGAUAUCUUGUGGGUGAACUGCAUCUCUUGCACCAGGUGUCCUCUUAAGAGCGACCUCGGGCUUCAAUUGACGUUGUAUGAUCCAAGGGCCUCGGCAAGUGGGGAUUUGGUCUCAUGCGAUGAGAAGUUUUGUGUAUCCACUUAUGGAGACAUUCCAGGCUGCGUAGCAAACUUGCCGUGCCAGUACAGUGUGCUGUAUGGUGAUGGGAGUUCCACUACUGGCUAUUUUGUGACAGACACCAUCCAGUAUGACCAAGUCUCUGGCAACCACCAAACAAAACCGGUCAAUGCAAGUGUUACAUUUGGUUGUGGUGCUCAACAAUCUGGUGAUUUGGGUUCAUCGAAUGAAGCGCUUGAUGGGAUUCUUGGUUUUGGCCAGUCAAAUUCGUCCAUGCUUUCACAAUUAGCUUCUGCAGGAAAAGUGAGCAAGAUAUUUGCUCAUUGUUUAGAUACUACAAUUGGAGGAGGUAUUUUCACCAUAGGACAUGUAGUGCAGCCGAAAGUGAAAACAACUCCCUUGGUACCUGGCCAGAUGCAUUACAAUGUGAAUUUGAAAGCAAUUGAAGUUGGCGGAUCAUUUCUCCAGCUUCCUACUGAUAUAUUUGACACUGGAGACAAGAAAGGCACAGUAAUUGAUAGUGGUACCACACUAGCUUAUCUACCAGAAGUUGCCUACAAUGCACUGAUGAGUGCGAUACUUUCUAAUCAUCAAGGAUUGAGAAUCUUCACCAUUCAGGACUUUAUGUGUUUCCAAUAUUCUGCAAAGUAAACAAGCUAAAUGAAAGUGAAUUCUCGGAGAAAACUAUUCGAGUUGAUCUCAGUAUGCUUUGAAGCAUAAAACAUGACAAGUGCUAGCACAACAAAUGUGUGGAUGAUGGAUUUCCAGAAGUAGUUUUUCAUUUUGAGAAUUCCCUCUUGCUAAAUGUAUAUCCUCAUGAUUACCUUUUCCAAAAUACGAAAAAUGUUUACUGUUUUGGCUGGCAAAAUGGUGCAGUGCAAUCCAAAGAUGGGAAAGAUAUGUUUCUUUUAGGAGAUCUAGCACUUUCAAAUAAGUUAGUUCUUUAUGAUCUUGAGAACCAAGUCAUUGGAUGGACAGAAUACAACUGCUCCUCGAGUAUCAGGGUCCAGGAUGACAGGACGGGCGCAACUUACAUCGUCGAUGCUCAUAACAUUUCUCAAGGUAGAAGAUCGUCACACCCAAGAUCCAUUUUCUUGUUGCUGCUAAUGUUUGUGAGCCGUUUGAUUUGUUGAUAUGAGACGGGCUAGUAUAUUGAUUUACUUUAACGAGUUUGCCACAUUCAUAUUCUUUUCUAUAGAGGAAAAAGUGAAAAAACAAAAGACAAGAAAAUAUAUUCUUAUUUUAGUGAGUUUGUUUC